rnacentral:rRNA from 1 species
CAGAGGGUGCAAGCGUUGUUCGGAAUUAUUGGGCGUAAAGCGCGUGUAGGCGGCUUUGCAAGUCGGGUGUGAAAGCCCUCAGCUCAACUGAGGAAGUGCGCCCGAAACUGCAGAGCUUGAGUACCGGAGAGGAUGGCGGAAUUCCCCAAGUAGAGGUGAAAUUCGUAGAUAUGGGGAGGAACACCGGUGGCGAAGGCGGCCAUCUGGACGGAUACUGACGCUGAGACGCGAAAGCGUGGGGAGCAAACAGGAUUAGAUACCCUGGUAGUCCACGCCGUAAACGAUGAGAACUAGGUGUCGUGGGUGUUGACCCCCGCGGUGCCGUAGCCAACGCAUUAAGUUCUCCGCCUGGGAAGUACGGCCGCAAGGCUA